CGCCUGCCCUGUGACAAAUGUUUAACGGCCGCGGUAUUUUGACCGUGCAAAGGUAGCGCAAUCACUUGUCUUUUAAAUGAAGACCUGUAUGAAAGGCAUGACGAGGGCUUAACUGUCUCCUUUUUCUAGUCAAUGAAAUUGAUCUUCCCGUGCAGAAGCGAGAAUAUAACCAUAAGACGAGAAGACCCUAUGGAGCUUUAGACACAAAACAGUUCUUGUUAAACGAUUCAAAAUAAAGAAACAAACUAAAAGAACCCUGUUCCAUUGUCUUUGGUUGGGGCGACCACGGGGAGACAAACAACCCCCACGCGGACUGGGAAAACAGUUCUCACAACUAAGAGCCACAGCUCUAAUCAACAGAAAUUCUGACCUCAAGAUCCGGCAACGCCGAUCAACGGACCGAGUUACCCUAGGGAUAACAGCGCAAUCCCCUUUUAGAGUCCAUAUCGACAAGGGGGUUUACGACCUCGAUGUUGGAUCAGGACAUCCUAAUGGUGCAGCAGCUAUUAAGGGUUCGUUUGUUCAACGAUUAAAGUCCU
rnacentral:rRNA from 1 species